CCUACGGGUGGCUGCAGUGGGGAAUAUUGGGCAAUGGGCGCAAGCCUGACCCAGCAACGCCGCGUGAAGGAAGAAGGCUUUCGGGUUGUAAACUUCUUUUAAGAGGGAAGAGCAGAAGACUGUACCUCUAGAAUAAGCCACGGCUAACUACGUGCCAGCAGCCGCGGUAAUACGUAGGUGGCAAGCGUUGUCCGGAUUUACUGGGUGUAAAGGGCGUGCAGCCGGGAAUGCAAGUCAGAUGUGAAAUCCAUGGGCUUAACCCAUGAACUGCAUUU
rnacentral:rRNA from 1 species